GUUUUAAUAGUUUAAAUAAAAACAUUGGUCUUGUAAACCAAAAAUAAGAUAUACUCUUCUAAAACU
rnacentral:tRNA from 1 species